AUUGAACGCUGGCGGAAUGCUUUACACAUGCAAGUCGAACGGCAGCACGGGGGCAACCCUGGUGGCGAGUGGCGAACGGGUGAGUAAUAUAUCGGAACGUGCCCAGUCGUGGGGGAUAACGUAGCGAAAGUUACGCUAAUACCGCAUACGAUCUAAGGAUGAAAGCGGGGGAUCGCAAGACCUCGCGCGAUUGGAGCGGCCGAUAUCAGAUUAGGUAGUUGGUGGGGUAAAGGCUCACCAAGCCAACGAUCUGUAGCUGGUCUGAGAGGACGACCAGCCACACUGGGACUGAGACACGGCCCAGACUCCUACGGGAGGCAGCAGUGGGGAAUUUUGGACAAUGGGCGCAAGCCUGAUCCAGCCAUUCCGCGUGCAGGACGAAGGCCUUCGGGUUGUAAACUGCUUUUGUACGGAACGAAAAAGCUCUUGUUAAUACCAAGAGUCCAUGACGGUACCGUAAGAAUAAGCACG
rnacentral:rRNA from 1 species